rnacentral:rRNA from 1 species
GACGAACGCUGGCGGCGUGCUUAACACAUGCAAGUCGAACGGAAAGGCCCCUUUGGGGGUUCUCGAGUGUUGAACGGGUGAGUAACACGUACGUAACCUUCCCCUGACUUCGGGAUAACUUCAGGAACCUGGGGCUAAUACUGGUUAGGAAUCCUUGCUGCAUGGUGGGGGUUGGAAAGCUUCGGCGGUUCUGGAUGGACUCGCGGCUUAUCAGCUUGCUGCUGGGGUGAUGUCUUACCAAGGCUUUGACGGGUAGCCGGCCUGCGAGGGCGACCGGCCACAUUGGGACUGAGAGACGGCCCAGACACCUACGGGAGGCAGAAGGGGGGAAUAUUGCACAAGGGGCGGAAGCCUGAUGCAGCAACGCCGCGGGCGGGAUGACGGCCUUCGGGUUGAAAACCGCAUUCAGCAGGGGCGAAGCUUGUGGUGACGGUACCUGCAGAAGAAGCACCGGCUAACUACGUG